CAGUAGCCGCGGUAAUACGUAGGGCGCAAGCGUUGUCCGGAAUUAUUGGGCGUAAAGAGCUCGUAGGCGGUCUGUCGCGUCUGGUGUGAAAUCCCGAGGCUCAACCUCGGGCUUGCAUCGGGUACGGGCAGACUAGAGUGCGGUAGGGGAGACUGGAAUUCCUGGUGUAGCGGUGGAAUGCGCAGAUAUCAGGAGGAACACCGAUGGCGAAGGCAGGUCUCUGGGCCGCAACUGACGCUGAGGAGCGAAAGCAUGGGGAGCGAACAGGAUUAGAUACCCCGGUAGUCCCUGUCUCUUAUAA
rnacentral:rRNA from 1 species